rnacentral:rRNA from 1 species
CACGCCUUAAACGAUGAAUACUAGACGUUGGGGUUAAACUCAGUGUCGCAGCUAACGCAUUAAGUAUUCCACCUGGGGAGUACGAUCGCAAGGUUGAAACUCAAAGGAAUUGACGGGGGCCCGCACAAGCAGUGGAGCAUGUGGUUCAAUUCGAUGCAACGCGAAGAACCUUACCUAGGCUUGACAUGCUAGCUAAAGCCGAUGAAAGUUGGUGUUCCGCAAGGAGAGCUAGUACAGAUGC